CCACUGCCGAGAAGUCCCAUAAUAGGACGAAACGUCCGUCCAGUGC
rfam:Schistosoma mansoni strain Puerto Rico chromosome 2, complete genome